rnacentral:rRNA from 1 species
UACGAAGGGGGCUAGCGUUGUUCGGAUUUACUGGGCGUAAAGCGCACGUAGGCGGAUCGUUAAGUCGGGGGUGAAAUCCUGGAGCUCAACUCCAGAACUGCCUUCGAUACUGGCGAUCUUGAGUCCGGAAGAGGUGAGUGGAACUCCUAGUGUAGAGGUGGAAUUCGUAGAUAUUCGCAAGAACACCAGUGGCGAAGGCGGCUCACUGGCCCGGAACUGACGCUGAGGUGCGAAAGCGUGGGGAGCAAACAGG